GACAGAGGUGCCGAGCGUUAGGCGGAAUCACUGGGCUUAAAGCGUGUGUAGGCGGGUCGUUAAGUGCCUUGUGAAAUCCCACGCUCAACCGUGGAACUGCUGGGCAUACUGCCGAUCUUGAGCCAGCUAGGGGCAACCGGAACAAACGGUGGAGCGGUGAAAUGCGUAGAUAUUCGGAAGAACACCAGUGGCGAAGGCGACUUACUGGACACGUAUUGACGCUGAGGUGCGAAAGCGUGGGGAGCAAACAGG
rnacentral:rRNA from 1 species